CCCUGAGGCGGACAGAGGUGGUCACGUCCAAAGACAGAAACAGCUUCGCUUACUCCACUUCACAAAAAGAUCGACCAGACACGUACUGCAUGAGUGAAGCUGUUAAGGAGCAGGAGGAUGAAGGGGAAAUAGAGCUGCUUCCCGUAUUUGAGUGGCCACAGGCUGGAGAUGAGGCCACAAGGCAGGGCGGAGAGAUGGCUCAUGCCCUGCUCCCCUGCUGCCCGCGUGCUUGGAGGGAGGAGAGCAAGGUGCUCUCUGCCGCCUGCUUGGCUGAAGCUGCAGAGGCCAGGGCCAUCGGAUGGGUAGCAAGUGCCCUCCCCACCUACUCAGGCACUGCCAAGGCCCUGCUGAAAAGUUGGUUUUGGGAGUUGAGGUCAGUGCCUCCCUGGGAGGUUGAGAGGCUGAGAGGGCUGGUUUGGGGGAGAUGCUUCUUCGGAGAAGCUGCUUGGGGUGCGGUGCACUUCCUGGAUGAUCGUAGAGUGAAAGACACCAGCUCUGCCCUGAAGCCACUGGAGCGCUUGUCCUGGGUCCACUGGGCUGACGGGUGCCAGACCUAUGCCUGGAAGAGCCUCGAAGUUAGGGACUGAGGCUGAAUCACCAGCUCAGUGAGGGUGGCUCCAGACAGGGUCUCUGUGGAGACUGGGCAGAACCUCCAGAAGCAGUUGGCUGUGGCCCUCUGGGAUUCUGGAAAGAGGGACCCGAAUUGAGCGCCGGACCCUGGCUGCCCAGGACUUGCUAGCAAACCCAAGAGUGGCCAGCCAGAGGACACGCACCAUCCACACUCCGGAAGGACACUCAGGGGUCCCCCGGGGGACUGCCAGGACCCCCUUUCCCUGCUUCACAACACACAACCUGAGAAGGAACCGGCCCCCGGAGCCCAGAGAGUAUGGUGCCACAGCGUGACAAUGGCAGCCGGGGACGCCUUGCAGCAGGAAGGGCAGCGGACAGAGAGGCAGGACAGGAGCGAAGUCUGGAGUUUUGACGUGCCUCCGCAUUUUAAUGACCUGGGCUAGGCUGUUGUUACAUUUGGGAGUGACCUAAAAGGUGUUGUACUAUUCUCCUCACCAUGUUGAUAUUUCUUCCAUCUCCCCGCAGAUCACCCAGUAAAGAACUACCUCACCCAGUGGGUCUGAGCGGGUGGUGGGAGGGAAGAUAGCCCUGACCACUGGGUCCUUCUGACUUCAGCUCUUCCACUGUACAGAACACGAACCCCGACUUCCAAAACCACAGCGGCGGUGCAUGCCGGUUGCUUUUUUCCACGGUACAUGGGAUGAGGUCUCCCAUGAGGGUAUCGAAGGGGUGACCUGGGGAGGCUGGAAAUCCCAGGGUCUAACAGAUGGUCAGACUGUAAGUGUCUUCAAAAAUGAACUUACCAAGGCGUCCGAAAAGUUAGUGUGGCCAGUGGUGCCACAGCGUGAGGAAGCAUUACAUCCCGUCCUGAUCUGAAGAUGAUGGCGAAGAUAAAUAGCCACUGAGAGUUGGUAGAAGGCAGAAACUUUACAUCUCCCGCCAAGAGCUACCUGACUGAGCCUUAGCCAUCCGGGGCGUAGCCAGAACUUAUUUUGUGUCCAGCACUGUCCAGAUACAAUCUCAACAGCAGGCAACGGACUCUGGUGUCCAAGGCAGGUGUGCCUGCCAAACUCCCCCUCCUCAAGAGUUGACAUCUGACUGACAGAUGGUCCCGGAGAAAGCUUUUUGGAUUGUAUCUCAGUAACCACCAACCCAGCCUGUCAAACCCGGAGAUUUAGGGUGGCAUGGAAGCCCAAAUCUGGAAGAACUUAGCAAUUUCAUGGUGCCAAAUGCAGGGGGAAAAUACGCACACAGAGAAACCAGAAAAGCAUAGAAUGACGGGGAGAAAAAAAUAAAGCAAAUGAAAACAUUCUGUUUCCACUGGCAGAAUCGGGCUCUGCCAGGAAGACUGGAAUGUUGACUUGGUACGCACAUAAUUCAAUUUUCUGCACACCCAGAAGUAAAGAAAAAGCCAGAGGCUGGGAGAAAUUGCUGAUACUGUUCUUAACCUUGGCAAGGACAAUGUAUUUGUGAAAAAGGACGCUAUAUCUGUGAAUCUAAAGAGGUUGUAACCAUUAAAACAUUUGAGUGGGGCUCUACCAAGACGGAGCUUCCAGCCCAGCCAGAGGGAGGAGCUGCGACUCUGCGCCAUCUGCUGGCUGAGUUGCAGAAUACCGGCCACUGACAGCCAGAGCUCUUCCAAGAGAGGCCAGAAAUACAAGGUUCUAUGUGAAACGUCACAAAUUUCAAAGGUAACACGCAGGCUGGUGGGGCAGCUCUCCUGGGCAUCAGCAGAGCUCCAGGAUGCUACUAGCUUGGUGCCUCACUAUGCUCAGGAUGUUGCUCCUGUCGACGUGGUCCAGGGUGUUCCCUAACCCUAAGUUCAGUCAACAAGAAUAGAGGAGGAAAGUCUUCGGCCAUAUCUGUCCCUUCUGCAGGUGUGUAUUCAUUGGGCUGUAACAAAAGGUAGCUGGAACAAGGCUACGUUUCUCACGUAAUAGUCCAGCAGCGGGUAUUGAAACAGGGUCAACAGGUGCCUUAGUCCACAAAGUUUUCCAUGGGUGUGGACACCCCCCAUCUUAUCACUUCACUAUCCCCUUGUCUGCGGGUGGAAGGUGAUCACCCCACACUCAUUCUGGCCUGCAGUAAGGCAAAGAGCAAGUUUAUUUAAUGCAAACAACUUCCCUUUGGAAAUGACGCAGAAAUGCACACAUGGCUAUCACUUCCGUGCCAACGAACAUAACUUAGUCACACGGCACCUGUGCUGCAAGGGAAGCUGGGAACUGUCAUCGUUAGCUGGAAGACAGCUAA